GCCUGGGUGGCUCAGUGGUUAAGUGUCUGACUUUGGCUCAGGUCAUGAUCUUAUGGCUUGUGGGUUCGAGUCCCACCUCGGGCU
rnacentral:tRNA from 1 species